rnacentral:rRNA from 1 species
GACGAACGCUGGCGGCGUGCUUAACACAUGCAAGUCGAACGGAAAGGCCCUGCUUUUGUGGGGUGCUCGAGUGGCGAACGGGUGAGUAACACGUGAGUAACCUGCCCUUGACUUUGGGAUAACUUCAGGAAACUGGGGCUAAUACCGGAUAGGAGCUCCUGCUGCAUGGUGGGGGUUGGAAAGUUUCGGCGGUUGGGGAUGGACUCGCGGCUUAUCAGCUUGUUGGUGGGGUAGUGGCUUACCAAGGCUUUGACGGGUAGCCGGCCUGAGAGGGUGACCGGCCACAUUGGGACUGAGAUACGGCCCAGACUCCUACGGGAGGAAGCAGUGGGGAAUAUUGCACAAUGGGCGGAAGCCUGAUGCAGCAACGCCGCGUGCGGGAUGACGGCCUUCGGGUUGUAAACCGCUUUCGCCUGUGACGAAGCGUGAGUGACGGUAAUGAGUAAAGAAGCACCGGCUAACUACGUG